CGGAAUUGCCAACUUUUCUCGAGAAUUGUGCCUGACCUCCAUUGUCGCCGGAGCUCAACAGCUCUCACUCUCUUCUUAAGACCCCCCCCCCCCCCCCCCAAACCCCCAAGGAACACCAUGAACACGAUAAAUCCUUUUUCUGCUAAAACAAUCCAAAUUGACAAGAAAAUCAACCAUUCACUUUAUCACCAUCGUCCAAUUUUGUCUAAACCAUUUUCUUCUCUCUGUUUUAGAACCCCAUUGUUCCCCUCUUUCUUGCCCAUCAAAGCCUCUUCUUCAUUAUCCUUUCAAAACCCAGAAACCCCAAAAUCCAUAAACCCUCAAAACCCGUUUUCUGUUCUGUUCUCAGUUCUCAAACCUACAAUUAUUGCCACCAUUACAGCUACUUCCCUUUUCUUAACGCGAUUCUAUUUUAACCCGAAGCCCGCAUUUGCUGUGUCGCUUUCUUCUCCGCACACUACAGAGGCAAACGUAAAGGAUUCAGCUUCUGACGAGGAAAAUGAGAAGGCCCUCGAGAGUUUCUUGCUGUCGAACCCGAAUGAUGUCGAUGCUCUGAGGAAUUUGAUGGAAAUUCAGAUAAAGAAUCGGAAAUUAGUCGAUGCUAUUAGCACUAUUGACAAGUUGAUUGAGCUAGAGCCAAAUGAGACUGAAUGGCCUUUGUUGAAAUCCCAUUUAUAUGUUUACAAUGGUGAGCUUGAAUUGGCCAAAAUUGGAUUCAGUGAGAUAUUAAAGAAAGAACCUUUUCGUGUAGAGGCUUAUCAUGGGCUGGUGAUGGUGGCGUCGCAAGAAGAUUCAGUUGAGGAGUUGAAAGAAAUAAAGAAAAAAGUUGAGGAGGGGAUCAAGAUGUGUGAUAAGGAGAGUAAAAAGAGUGAAAUGAGGGAUUUUAUGCUGUUGCUUGCACAAAUUUGGGUAAUUGAAAGUAAAUACGAGGAUGCGUUGAAGGUUUAUCAGGAGUUAGUGAAGGAGGAGCCAAAGGAUUUUAGGCCUUAUUUGUGUCAAGGGAUAAUACAUACUUUGUUGAGAAAGAAAGAUGAGGCGGAGAAGAGUUUUGAGGAGUAUCGAAGAUUAGUACCACAAGGCCACCCUUAUGCUAGGUACUUUGAUGAUAAUUUGAUUGCAACAAAGCUUUUCUCUCAGAAAGUGGAGAGUGAAAGGUAUGGAGAUUGAAGGCAGUGUACUUCAGUUUGAUGAUUGAGUUAUUCCAGAAAACUCAGUCAUGUCCACAUCCUCUGGCUUCUGACCAUCAGGACACAUUCUCCUUCCGGCACCAAAAGGAAGAUACUCAAAGUUAUUCCCCAUGAAAUCCACAGAGCUCUGCUCGAAUCUCUCAGGUAUAAAGCUUUCCGCAUCUUCCCAAUACUUUGGGUCCCUUCCCAUCGACCAAACAUUAACCAUGACUCUUGUUUUUAAUGGGAUGGUGUAUCCGUUGAUGUUUGUUUCUUCCCUGCAUUCUCUGGGGGCUAAGAGAGGGACUGGAGGAUGAAGUCUGAAGGUUUCUUUAACAACUUGUUUUAAGUAUUUCAAUUCCUCAAUAACAUCUUCAUCGAAAGUUUCUUUUCCUUUGAAUGCUUCUCUUACCUCAGCUUGUGCCUUUGCUAAUACACUUGG